rnacentral:rRNA from 1 species
AUUGAUCGCUGGCGGCAGGCCUAACACAUGCAAGUCGAACGAAGUCUUCGGACUUAGUGGCGGACGGGUGAGUAACACGUGGGAACGUGCCUUUAGGUUCGGAAUAACUCAGGGAAACUUGUGCUAAUACCGAAUGUGCCCUUCGGGGGAAAGAUUUAUCGCCUUUAGAGCGGCCCGCGUCUGAUUAGCUAGUUGGUGAGGUAAAGGCUCACCAAGGCGACGAUCAGUAGCUGGUCUGAGAGGAUGAUCAGCCACAUUGGGACUGAGACACGGCCCAAACUCCUACGGGAGGCAGCAGUGGGGAAUCUUGCGCAAUGGGCGAAAGCCUGACGCAGCCAUGCCGCGGGAAUGAUGAAGGUCUUAGGAUUGUAAAAUUCUUUCGCCGGGGACGAUAAUGACGGUACCCGGAGAAGAAGCCCCGGCUAACUUCGUGCCAGCCGCCGCAGUAA